rnacentral:rRNA from 1 species
CCUACGGGUGGCUGCAGUAGGGAAUAUUGCUCAAUGGGGGAAACCCUGAAGCAGCAACGCCGCGUGGAGGAUGAAGGUUUUCGGAGGGUAAACUCCUGUUGGUAGAGAAGAGAAUUACGGUAUCUAACGAAUAAGCACCGGCUAACUCCGUGCCAGCCGCCGCGGGAAUACGGAGGGUGCAAGCGUUACUCGGAAUAACUGGGCGUAAAGCGCGCGUAGGCGGGAUAGCAAGUCAGCUGUGAAAUCCUAUGGCUUAACCAUAGAACUGCCUUUGAAACUGUUAUUCUAGAGUAUGGGAGAGGUCGGUGGAAUUCUUGGUGUAGCGGUCAAAUCCGUAGCUAUCAAGAGGAAUACUCAUUGCGAAGGCGACCUGCUAGAACAUACCUGACGCUGAUGCGCGAACGCGUGGGGAGCAAACAGGAUUAGAUACCCCAGUAGUC